AUGCAGCUGCACGCGCGCCGGCGGCACGCCGUGGCGCGGUGCCGCCUGCUGAUCGCGGCCGCGGCCGUCGCCAUGUCGCUCGCUGCGGUCCUCUGCCUCAGCCGCGUCGACCCCGCCGGCCUGCUCGCCGCGCCCGCGCGCGCGCUCCAGCUCGUGCCGCCUCGCCGGCUGCACGUCCGCCUCGGCGCCGUCAAAGGGACCACCGCGACCGCCACGCCCGCAGCCGGACGGAAGUCGCGGCCGCCGCCGUUGGAGACCGAGGCCGUGCUGCUGCCGGACUGGGAGGUGCUCGUCCUGCUCCGCCCCGGCGCCCAAGACGACGCUGGAGGGAACGCGACGUGCGCCUUCGGCCGCGGGGCGUCGUCCCCUGCGCGCGCGCUCGGGAAGCUGCCGGCGUCCGGGCGCCGCGCGUACCUCUGCGUCGUGCCCGUGCCGGCGCGCAGCCAGAGGCGGCUCCGCGCGCCGCGGCUCGUGAUCUCCUCCUCGUCGUCGUCGAAGAUUAGUACCGCCACCAGUCAUGGCAAAUCGCCCGAGAUUCUGAGGUGGAGCGGCCGGCUGGUGUACGAGUCCGCGGUGGUCCACGGCGGCGACGUGCUCGUCUUCGCCAAGGGAGUCAACCCGCGGCAAGGCGUGAACCGGGCGGCCUCUGAUGUCCGGUGCGUGUACUACCGCCGCGCGGGUGCCGGCGCCGGUGACGCCGUCGUGGCCUCGCUCCCCGCGGCCACCUCGGCGCAGCAGGUCUUCCGGUGCCCGCCUCCGCCCACGACCGCCGCAUCCCAGGAGCUCCGCGUCACGCUCGCCGUCGCCGGCGAGGAUCCCCUCCCGUCUCUGGCCGUGUACACCCCGCCGCGCUCUGGAUCGUCAACGACGCCGGCGCCGGAGAAGAAGCUGAUAUGCGCCUGCACCAUGGUCCGCGACGUGGCCAAGUUCCUGCCGGAGUGGGUGGUGUACCACGCGGCCGUGGGCGUGGACCGGUUCUACCUCUACGACAACGGGAGCGAGGAUGACCUGGAGGACCAGGUCCACCAGCUCAACUCAGCCGGGUACAACAUCUCCACCGUGACAUGGCCGUGGGCCAAGGCCCAGGAGGCCGGGUUCUCCCACAGCGCUGCGGUGCUUCGAGAUUCGUGCGAGUGGGUGGCAUUUAUCGACGUCGACGAGUUCAUCUUCUCCCCAAGAUGGAACCAAACGGAGACCCCGACCGAAUCCAUGCUCCGGUCGGUUGUAUCAUCAGCCGAACCAGACAUUGGUCGGGUGUCAAUGAGGUGCGCCGAUUUCGGACCCUCGGGCCAGACCUCCAACCCGAAGGAAGGGGUCACCCAAGGAUACACGUGCCGGAGGCGAGUCGAGGAGCGGCACAAGUCGUUGCUCCGGCUCGACGCGGCGGACGACUCGCUGCUCAACUCCAUCCAUCACUUCACGCUCCGCCCCGGGUUCCGGGUCGAGUGGAGCAAGCGGGUCCGUGUCAACCACUACAAGUACCAAGCUUGGGAGGAGUUCAAGGUCAAGUUCAGGCGCCGGGUGUCGACGUACGUGGCCGACUGGACCGACCCGGUGAACCUUCAGUCCAAGGACCGGACCCCCGGCCUCGGUUUCGAGGCCGUCGAACCGGUCGGUUGGACGCACAAGUUUUGCGAGGUGAAUGAUACUCUGCUCCACGACACGACCCGGAGAUGGUUCGGCGUUGGGUUCGGGAACAAUCUCACUAGUGUAGGACACAGCAGCAGCUCAUCGUAG
rnacentral:rRNA from 1 species